GUACGAUUUUUCCGAUAUACGAAUCUGUGUAAUAAGAAACAUUUAAACAAUUAUAUUGUCUGGAGAAUUGUAAAUGAUGGAUUUUAUAGAAUCAUUUUUGAAUGCGACGUGGUCAUAUUGAUGCUAAAAACGCAUAUCAAAUUAUACACGCAUGAUCAAAUUAUACAACUAUAUUCUAAAUUCAUUAAAAAUUUGUACUAUAUUCUAGUACGGUGUCACGCUUUUGGUCUGGCUGCGGUGGUUCUUGAACUAUAACCAGAGGCAGUGAAAGUGGUAGGGAAGAGGGCUCACCUGAGAGUGAGUCUGAUGGUACUACUGCAGAAGAUGGUACAUCUAAUACAUCUUCGCACGCUUCUUCAUUUAAAGUUUGCAGAGCUCCACAAAUCAUCUGUUCCUCUAAACUUACUUGUUUUUCCAUAAUUGAUUGCUUAGUUUGAUCUCGUCUAGGAGGACCAUCGGUUCUUGAAGUUCCCUUAUCUUUUUCAACAUGAGUUGGCACGCGUAUCGAAGUACUUUGCAAAGUAUGAU